GGUCAAUGAUGUCAUGGCAUGUAUUAGCUGAAUUCAAAGUUGAUGUCAGUUCUAAAAUUACACUGAGACCUU